UCAUCCAUUGCAGUGGUCUGGUCCUUCUCUGCUUUAAGAAAACUUCUGAUUUCUGGAGAGGCUUCUGCUCUAGUCAAUUAUAUGCAGAGAGGUGUUCAUAAAGAGCAAUAUCAGAUGGCACCCCAAAAAAGGAUAUGAAAGAACACCAAAAGGGAACUCUAAAGAUUUAGUUGGAAAAGUAGAUGCAGAGAGGUGUUCAUAAAGAGCAAUAUCAGAUGGCACCCCAAAAAAGGAUAUGAAAGAACACCAAAAGGGAACUCUAAAGAUUUAGUUGGAAAAGUAGCUUCAGUCAUCCUAGCCUAGUCUGUGAUGCUGGGAAAAAACGUAAUAUGCUGUUUAUUGCAGCACUAUUCACAAUAGCAAAGACUUGGAACCAACCCAAAUGUCCAACAAUGAUAGACUGA
rnacentral:lncRNA from 1 species